ACAGAUCGUUCAGAGUUUGAUCCUGGCUCAGGAUGAACGCUGGCGGCGUGCAUAACACAUUCAAGUCGAACGAGGUAGCAAUACCUAGUGGCGGACGGGUGAGUAACGCGUGAGCAACCUGCCCUUGUGUGGGGGAUACCGUCUGGAAACGGACGUUAAUACCGCAUAACAUUACGAAGUCGCAUGGCUUUGUAAUCAAAGAUUUAUUGCGCAAGGAUGGGCUCGCGUCUGAUUAGAUAGUUGGUGGGGUAACGGCCUACCAAGUCGACGAUCAGUAGCCGGACUGAGAGGUUGAACGGCCACAUUGGAACUGAGAUACGGUCCAG
rnacentral:rRNA from 1 species